rnacentral:rRNA from 1 species
UGGGGAAUAUUGCACAAUGGGCGAAAGCCUGAUGCAGCAACGCCGCGUGAGUGAUGAAGGCCUUCGGGUUGUAAAGCUCUGUCUUUUGGGACGAUAAUGACGGUACCAAAGGAGGAAGCCACGGCUAACUACGUGCCAGCAGCCGCGGUAAUACGUAGGUGGCAAGCGUUGUCCGGAUUUACUGGGCGUAAAGGAUGCGUAGGCGGAUUUUUAAGUGAGAUGUGAAAACCCUAAGCUUAACUUGGGGACUGCAUUUCAUACUGGAAAUCUAGAGUGCGGGAGAGGAGAAUGGAAUUCCUAGUGUAGCGGUGAAAUGCGUAGAGAUUAGGAAGAACACCAGUGGCGAAGGCGAUUCUCUGGACCGUAACUGACGCUGAGGCAUGAAAGCGUGGGUAGCAAACAGGAUUAGAUACCCUGGUAGUCCACGCCGUAAACGAUGAGUACUAGGUGUAGGAGGUAUCGACCCCUUCUGUGCCGCAGUUAACACAAUAAGUACUCCGCCUGGGAAGUACGAUCGCAAGAUUAAAACUCAAAGGAAUUGACGGGGUCAAGCUGUUUCCUG